rnacentral:rRNA from 1 species
UACGAAGGGGGCUAGCGUUGCUCGGAAUUACUGGGCGUAAAGGGCGCGUAGGCGGAUGUUUAAGUCGGGGGUGAAAGCCCGGGGCUCAACCUCGGAAUUGCCUUCGAUACUGGACAUCUUGAGUACGGGAGAGGUGAGUGGAACUCCGAGUGUAGAGGUGAAAUUCGUAGAUAUUUGCAAGAACACCAGUGGCGAAGGCGGCUCACUGGCCCGGUACUGACGCUGAGGUGCGAAAGCGUGGGGAGCAAACAGG